rnacentral:rRNA from 1 species
AACCUGAAACCGUGUACGUACAAGCAGUGGGAGCCUCUUUAUGGGGUGACUGCGUACCUUUUGUAUAAUGGGUCAGCGACUUAUAUUCUGUAGCAAGGUUAACCGAAUAGGGGAGCCGAAGGGAAACCGAGUCUUAACUGGGCGUUAAGUUGCAGGGUAUAGACCCGAAACCCGGUGAUCUAGCCAUGGGCAGGUUGAAGGUUGGGUAACACUAACUGGAGGACCGAACCGACUAAUGUUGAAAAAUUAGCGGAUGACUUGUGGCUGGGGGUGAAAGGCCAAUCAAACCGGGAGAUAGCUGGUUCUCCCCGAAAGCUAUUUAGGUAGCGCCUCGUGAAUUCAUCUCCGGGGGUAGAGCACUGUUUCGGCAAGGGGGUCAUCCCGACUUACCAACCCGAUGCAAACUGCGAAUACCGGAGAAUGUUAUCACGGGAGACACACGGCGGGUGCUAACGUCCGUCGUGAAGAGGGAAACAACCCAGACCGCCAGCUAAGGUCCCAAAGUCAUGGUUAAGUGGGAAACGAUGUGGGAAGGCCCAGACAGCCAGGAUGUUGGCUUAGAAGCAGCCAUCAUUUAAAGAAAGCGUAAUAGCUCACUGGUCGAGUCGGCCUGCGCGGAAGAUGUAACGGGGCUAAACCAUGCACCGAAGCUGCGGCAGCGACACUAUGUGUUGUUGGGUAGGGGAGCGUUCUGUAAGCCUGUGAAGGUGUGCUGUGAGGCAUGCUGGAGGUAUCAGAAGUGCGAAUGCUGACAUAAG